rnacentral:rRNA from 1 species
UACAGAGGGUGCGAGCGUUAAUCGGAAUUACUGGGCGUAAAGCGUGCGUAGACGGCUAUCUAAGUCGGGUGUGAAAGCCCCGGGCUCAACCUGGGAAUUGCAUUCGAGACUGAAUAGCUAGGGUACGGUAGAGGGAAGCGGAAUUUCCGGUGUAGCGGUGAAAUGCGUAGAUAUCGGAAGGAACAUCAGUGGCGAAGGCGGAUCUCUGGGCCAUUACUGACGCUGAGGAGCGAAAGCGUGGGGAGCGAACAGG